UGUAAAUUUUGUUUGUAUGUUAAUUUUUUUUUGUCACUAACAAAACAAAAAAAUCUUUGUUUAAAAGUACUUUUUUUUUCUUCUAAAAGUACUUAACAUAUCUAGUUAUUCACAAGAAGUGUCCUGCAGUUUGUCUGGUAUAAGGUUAUCUGUUACUGUUUAAGUCUUUUUUUCUCUUCUAAACCAAAUCAAAAUAAAUUCAAUCACCACAUGGAUAUUGUGACAAUUUUAUUUGAGGGAGGAGGACAUUUAGGGAUCAAGUGUUUUUAAAUUUGAGAUAUCGGGAUCCGGGAUUUUUUUUUCCAACCCCCCCUCUUAUUUUGAUACUAGAUAAAUAGCAGGAUACCCAUUCUGUUCCAUUUAAUGAUUAUGUGAUAUCAGCAAUUUUCAAUGCCAAGAAGUAACAUUUUUUUAGACUAAGUGAAUCUGCAAUUCAAUGCCACGAAUUUACUAGCAGGUACUUUGUAUUAAUAUUUAAACAAUAAACUAGUAACACUAUAACAAGUAUUGUAAAUUCAGAAAUUAUUGGGAUGUUUUUAGUAUUGCGAAAAAAUGUGACGGUUAUAAUCGCAAAAAUUUAAACUCGCAAUUUGAAAAAAUAUGAACUAAACAAGAUCUUUCUCAAUAUCGCAAAAUUAAAAUAGCAUUUUAGUCUUAAAUGACAAAAUUGCAAUAAUAAAUGCAUGCAAGAAUUAAAUUUGAAUUUACAGUAAUCGUAUGAAUCUCAGGUCCAAUUUUCAUAAAUAAUAUUUUUUAAAAGAUUUUACUUGUAUCAUAUAGUAACACUAGAUCUUGCCACAAAAUGUUUUACUGUUGUUUGUCAUUCAUGCUUUUAUUUAUCUACAGACCAUUAUGUAUUCUGGUCCAUUUGUUUUCCAAACAUUUUUCUGCUAAGAAUUGACACUAUUAUCUCUAGAAAUAAGGUUUGGUUUUGAAAAUAAAAAUCAGUAAAAUCAAUAAACUUAUUUUGAAAAUUGAGGUAACAAAUAAUAGUACAUGAGGAAUCUUAUAAGAUACAACUUAAUAUGAAAAAAUAUAAUCAAACUUUGUAGUUAUAUAUUAUUUAAGUCUAAUUGGAAAAUAAGGUUUAACUAUAGAUUUUUAGUUCCAGUAUAUAAUUAAGAGAUCUUCAUGCAGGACUGUGAAAGUACAAUUUUUAGUCAGCAACAUAUAAGUUCCAUACUGUUAAGUCCUCUAUAACUAGAUUACAUAUAUAAGCAAAACAGAUCUUGGUCGUCCAGAAUGAUAUUGGAUUUUUUUUCAUCUAAAAUGUAUCUGACAUUGUGUUUUUUGUUGUAGAUAAUUCCACUAGUUGAUAAUUUAGUUACAAGAAUUAAUUUAUUAUUGUUUUGUCUGAAUCUUAUUGUUUACCUUCAUAAUGUUUAUAUAGAUAAAAAGCUUAUUUGUUUUAUUUAAACUCUAAGAAUUCACACCAGUCAUAUGUUGUUAAUUAUUUUCCUUUUAAAUUGCAUCUUCUGUAAAAAGUCUAUGUAACUCGUUUUUGCGUAACUUAUCUCACAAAAAGUGGUAAAUGAAAUGAGUUAAUAGUUGACCAUUGUCCAGCGGUGUGGUGGAAUAGUUAAAUACAUGUAUUUGAAAUCUCCAGGAUUGAUAUCCAGCAUUUUAAAAUUGUUCAUUAAUAUAAUGAUGAAGUGUUUAUAUAAAUAUACACUAAGUCUAGUAGUAUAACCAAAAAGGAUGAUGCCAAAGAUAGUAAAAUUUGUCAUUUACAGAAGAUUGCAUUGAGUGUGUAGUUAAAGAUAAUAUCUUUGGUUAGCUUGCUUGUAAACUGAUUUGUGAAGUUAUUAUUAGGUUAUGUAUACUACCCUCCUUUCAGAGUAGUCUAGUCCUACAGCAGAUAGAUUGGUUGUCAGUCCGACUAGUCUACUCCUAAAGGAGGGUAGUUUACAAAACCUUUAACUUUUCAGCUAGCAAGCAAGCUAACCAAAAAUAUUACCUUUACCUACACACUCAAUGUAUUCUGCUUUAAUGUAAUUUUUAUUUCUUACCAAAAUGAAUUACCUAGGGACUGCUAGACUGAAUAAACCAAGCUCUAGCAAUAUUCAGGUCGGUCAAUACAGGUGGUAUUUAGCUUGAACAUUACCAAAAGUCUUUUAAAAGAAGGUCAAAAUCUCAGACAUAGUUUUUUUUCUUUUCAUAAUACAUUUGUAAAUAGGUUUUACAAACGUAACUAAGGAUUCUUUGAUUUUUUGAAAAUUUAUAUUCUCCUUAACUCUUUUUAUGUGGGACUAAUUCAUAAAAAAUAAAUAUGCUGUUGAAUGUCUUUAAAAAAGUCAAAGAGAAAGUGCUAUGUAUGUAUUAAUAUUGUGUUGAGAUCUAAAUAUGGAUUCAUGCUUGUAUUCCUGCAGGUAUUUGUAAAAUUGUUUCUCACCUGUCUGGGAAAUUAGGCUUUCUCUCUUUCCUAUUAAAAUCCUGUAGUGACGAGGUUAGCCAAGAGUACUUAAAAUGAUGUUAAGCAUCAACAAUCUAUAAGUCAAUGAAUAUGCAUGAAAUAUUUGCCACUGGAAUUUAAACAAACAACAAUUAAUUAUGUUUUCUAAAGACUCUGAUGAUUUUUUCCUUUGUCCUCAGUUUCACAGUUAGGGGUCUUUAAAAUAUUGAAAAUACAAAAAAGUAUAAUUGGAUUUUUACAAUUGAUUGAUUUUUAAAUUACUUCUAGAGGGGUUUUUAUUACAAUCACUUCUAACCAUUACUUUUGAUUAGAUGUACAUUUCUUUGUGUCUAGCUUGUUUAUGAGAUAUGAAUAUAAAGUGUUGUUGCUUAUAUUUUAAGAAUAACAUAUUGUUUAGUGUUUUUUUUAACAUAGUGCUGUAUCUAUUAUUUAUAUUUCUUUUAAUGUGUUAUAUACAUGUUUACAUUAUUAACUAAUAUUGUUAUUUUCUAUGAAUUUUCUUAAUAAAUUUAAUAACCAGGUCUUGUUUUAUGUGUAACCGGAGAGCACGAAUUUCAUUACAAAAUUGCUUGUCUCCACCGGGACUCGAACCCGGGACCUCUGUGUUACAAGGCAGCGCGCUAACCGACUGAGCUAAAGAAGUACUUCCUUAGCUCAACCGCUUACGGCUGACUAAGUAUCUACUAAGUUUUUCUAAGGGAAGCAAUCCCGUCACACUUCCCCCACCUCAAGAGUCAUCAUACCAUCAUGACUCUCACACAAACAUACCCUAGCUAGAAUUCCUCUCUAACUACCGUGGGUUUUUUAGUUGGGCGCCAAUGUAACCGGAGAGCACGAAUUUCAUUACAAAAUUGCUUGUCUCCACCGGGACUCGAACCCGGGACCUCUGUGUUACAAGGCAGCGCGCUAACCGACUUCUUUAGCUCAGUCGGUUAGCGCGCUGCCUUGAAACACAGAGGUCCCGGGUUCAAGUCCCAGUGGAGACAAGCAAUUUUGUAAUAAAAUUUGUGCUCUCCGGUUACA
rnacentral:lncRNA from 1 species